AAGUUUCAUGCUUUCCCUUCUAUAGUUUUGGGGUUUUGUUUUCUUUCAAUUUUGAUAAAUUCUGAGCCCAUACAAGUCUUUUCUUUAGUUGCAGACAAUAUUAUUGGACUGUUAGUCUGUACAUAUAAACGUUGUAUGAUGCUGGUUUUGUCUAUGUUGCUCGGACUCUUCGUAAAUGACUUCGGGUGCUUGUUGGAUUCUCCAAAGAUCCAAAAGUAGUGCAUUUUCGAAGGAUCUAGCCCUGCUGCUGCAACAUUUUUGGGGAGUCCGAGUAAUUUCAUUUGGCUAAUUGUUUUGUUCAAUUUUCUUGUUCAAUGUUCUUUUUGCUUCAAGUUUUGUGCUUUUUCCCCUUCUAUAGGAUCUAAUGAAAUGUGGGGUUUGUAUUUUUCUUUCAACUUUGUUUAUUCUGAGCCCAUUAAAGUUUUUCAUUUAGUUGUAUGCAUUAAUAUUGCAAUUUCAGAUUGUAAAGAUGAACUUAGUAUGGAUGCUACUUUCUUUUGGCUAAUUGCUUUUAAGAAUAUUCUGUUGGUUAUGCGUUGAAGUAUUUGGUGAACUCAUGACGGAUCUUUCAAAAAACGAAUUGCUUUUGGAGUGUCUGAACAACAUAUUUUGGUGUUCCUCGCAUAUCAGAUUUGUGCACCUUCGAUGCAGUUUCAUGGAUCAUGUUUAUCAGCUAAUGAAAAAAUGGAUUUGAAAGUUGGAACUGCCAAAACAAACCGUUAAUGCAGUUAUUCCUAUGAUUUUGCCCGAAGAGUUUAGAGCAGAGUCUGAUUAUGUUCCUCCAAUAGUUCACGAACAUGUGUACAUACAGUGUGCAAUGUGUACCCUCGCGUUGCUAUUAUCUAAAAUUUCAUAUCCUCUUGUCUUACUUCCUCUUUUGAGAAUCCAACUCUAUCAUUUGCAUACCUUAUGUGGCCCAAGCCUAUUGGAAACCAUGAGAUUCUAUCCUAAUAAGGUUUUUGCAAUAUAUAUGGCUGGUACCAACAAAAAAUGCCAUUAGAUUAAAUGUAUUUACAUACAUAAUUGUUCUUCUUGUUGUUACUGCUUAUCUCUUCAUAAAUGUUGUGUUUUUCCUUUCCUUGAGCUGAGGAUCUAUCGAAACAACCUCUCUUCCUGCCAAGGUAGGGGUAAGGUCUGCGUACACUCUACCUCCAGCCCCACAUGUGGGAUUAUAUUGGGAACGAUUGGCAAGACUUGAAAUUUCAGUCGCUAGUAAGACAGAUCUUAAAAACGAGGAAUUGGAGAGAACAGUUGCUGGACUCCAGUCAAAGCUGAAAGAUGUCACUGCUGAGCUCGAAGCAGAACAAGAAAAGGGACACAAACAGGUCGAACAACUAACUUCAGAGAAUGCAAAGCUCAAAUAUCGUAUCAAACAUCUAGUUCGAUCGCUAGAGGAGGUUCUUAGCAAGUUGGCAUCGAAGUGAGGUAAUUUUUUCUGAAGCAGGAUGAUAGAUAGCUCUUUUACUUCAAAUACUUAGUUGCAUGUUACCAAAGGAGUUAUUUUAACUGUUGAUUCUUACGCAUGAGUUUUAAGAAAAAGAGUUUAAAUUGUACUCGUUUCUAAAAAAAACAUUUUAAAAAAUCAUAAUCAUUGUUGCGUGCAUCUCAACUAAUUUCACGAUGUAAUUGAUACUUUCUAUCAGCACAUGUAUCAGAUUACUUUGUCUACCAAAGCUUUGGACAAAUCAUAUCAUCAUAUAUUAUUACAAGUGUGAAGCUCUAUAGUGAAAAGUUGAAUUA